rnacentral:miRNA from 1 species
CAGUAUUAAGGUUGUCCAAGAGCAAAGCGGAAAAGUUCGCGCUCGUAUUCGACUUUUCUGCUUUGCUCUUGGACAACCUUAAUACUGAAAUAGCU